GGCCUCCUGGUACUUCCCACAGGCUGUGUUUUUACACUAACUGUACGGAAAGAAGAGGCAGAGUGAACCCACCCUAUAUAUAGGACCCUUUGCCUGGUAUGUGUUGUGAAUGGGGAUGGGGACAUGG